AUUUUCUUAUAGGAAAUUCCUAUAAUAAUUUGGGACUAGACUUGAGAAUUCUUAUAGGAAUUCUUCCUAUUAAAUUCUUAUAGGAAUUCCUGUAGAAAAAAUUCCUAUAGAAUACUAGCCCAAUGCUCUUCCAACUGAGCUACGCGAGUAACAUCACACAAAAAUCUUAUUCACCUGAGUACAUUACACCAACACAGCAGAUUUCACAAAUAUUAGAUUACACUGAUAUCGAAGGAACUAGACUCAGUUCCGAAAUAUCGCUUACUCGAACCGUCGACGUCCUGACCGCGUAGCUCAGUUGGAAGAGCAUUGGGCUAGUAUUCCAAAGGUCGUAGGUUCGAAUCCCGCCGUGGCCAGGCAUAUUUUUCGGGCCUGCCCGGUGUGGAUAUACACUCAGAGUAACAUCACACAAACAUCUUAUUCACCUGAGUGCAUUACACCAACACAGCAGAUUUCAUAAAUAUUAGAUUACACUGAUAUCGAAGGAACUAGACUCAGUUCCGAAAUAUCGCUUACUCGAACCGUCCUGACCGCGUAGCUCAGUUGGAAGAGCAUUGGGCUAGUAUUCCAAAGGUCGUAGGUUCGAAUCCCGCCGUG